GAUGAAGAACGCAGCGAAAUGCGAUAAGUAGUGUGAAUUGCAGACUUUAGUGAAUCAUCGAAUCUUUGAACGCACAUUGCGCCCGCCAGUAUUCUGGCGGGCAUGCCUGUUCGAGCGUCAUUUCAACCAUCAAGCCCCAGGCUUGUGUUGGAGCCCUGCGGCUGCCGCAGCCUCCCAAAACCAGUGGCGGGCUCGCUAUCACACCGAGUGCAGUAGUUUACUCUUCGCUCAGGGCGUGUGGCGGGUGCUAGCCGUAAAACCCCCAACUUCUCAAGGUUGACCUCGGAUCAGGUAGGAAUACCCGCUGAACUUAAGCAUAUCAAUAAGCGGAGGA
rnacentral:misc_RNA from 1 species